GGUAAACGUCGUUGUUUUCCUUCUGCACUCCCGGCGGCACGCCCGUGAGCGAGCUCGAUGCUGCAUCUGGACCUCGGAACCACGUCGGAGCCAGAAAAACGUUAUUGACGUAGCAGCCUGGAAGUCGCCGGUCGGAGCCAAGAGACGCGGCGACAAUGAUCU